rnacentral:rRNA from 1 species
UUGAACGCUGGCGGCAGGCUUAACACAUGCCAGUCGAGCGGUAGCACAAGAGAGCUUGCUCUCUGGGUGACGAGCGGCGGACGGGUGAGUAAUGUCUGGGAAACUGCCUGAUGGAGGGGGAUAACUACUGGAAACGGUAGCUAAUACCGCAUAACGUCGCAAGACCAAAGAGGGGGACCUUCGGGCCUCUUGCCAUCAGAUGUGCCCAGAUGGGAUUAGCUAGUAGGUGGGGUAAUGGCUCACCUAGGCGACGAUCCCUAGCUGGUCUGAGAGGAUGACCAGCCACACUGGAACUGAGACACGGUCCAGACUCCUACGGGAGGCAGCAGUGGGGAAUAUUGCACAAUGGGCGCAAGCCUGAUGCAGCCAUGCCGCGUGUGUGAAGAAGGCCUUCGGGUUGUAAAGCACUUUCAGCGAGGAGGAAGGUGGUGAACUUAAUACGUUCAUCAAUUGACGUUACUCGCAGAAGAAGCACCGGCUAACUCCGUG